UCCGAGAGAUCGCCAGGGCAGAAAUGGGGGAACCACGUUCCUCCGGGCGGCGCCACGCGGCGCCGCCCUUGGGGUUAAGUCGGCCAUUCAAAGGCGUUUAUUCGACGCGCCCGAAAAUAGCCGGCCGGGCUUCCCGGCCCGAACCCGACAGCUAACCUCACAGGCGUGCGGGAAAGAUAUC
rnacentral:sRNA from 2 species